rfam:Salmo salar isolate Sally breed double haploid chromosome ssa14, whole genome shotgun sequence.
UGUAUUCACUACUGUAAGUCACUCUGGAUAAGAGCGUCUGCUAAAUGACUAAAA